rnacentral:rRNA from 1 species
UACGGGGGGGGCAAGCGUUGUUCGGAAUUACUGGGCGUAAAGGGCGCGUAGGUGGCCAACUAAGUCAGACGUGAAAUCCCUCGGCUUAACCGGGGAACUGCGUCUGAUACUGGAUGGCUUGAGUCCGGGAGAGGGAUGCAGAAUUCCAGGUGUAGCGGUGAAAUGCGUAGAUAUCUGGAGGAAUACCGGUGGCGAAGGCGGCAUCCUGGACCGGCAUUGACGCUGAGGAGCGAAAGCCAGGGGAGCAAACGGG